UACCAGUGUUGCGACGAAACGUUUGCCCCGCGGUACACGAAACGUGUACACCAUAGUGGAAUAAUCAGACGGCCGGACGAUAUUAAUUUUUCAACAAUUAUUAUUGCCGUUUACGCGCGCUGUUGGUAAUACGCACUCGAUGUGUGAUAAAAUAUCAGCGAUAGCGCAGACUGUUAUCCACGGUAGUACGGUUAUCUUGCCAUUUACAAUGUUUACAUCCUAAUCGCUAUUUAAUUAUUAUUGUUAGUUAGAUUUGUCAUUCCGGAAAUGUAAUUGAUCCGUUUAUUACGCAUUUUCGGCUUUCGCAUUAGUCUGGUUGUUUUGUACGGCGGUGAACUAAUGACCGGGCGCGAGACGACUACGGGGCCGACCGCGCGUUUAGACGUUAAUAAUAUUUCUGGCGUCUGAAUGUCUCGUGGUGUCGAGUGUAUUCUUCGGGCAACACGCGCAUACGGACACACGUGUUUAAUAUUUCCGAUACGUGGAUUUUUUCAAUUCGACGUUCUCGUCCACCAUACUAUUAUACUACCAUUUUGAUUGUUAUUGAAUGUAAAAUCGAGAAAAAACAAUCCACAAUAUCUAGCGCGUAUGGUCCAUUUCCAAACGCUCCUCACACGUGUUUCAAACAGUUUCUGUAAAAACGCGUACAAUAACGUUAAUAAACUAAUGAGUACUCGAGUAUAAUAGUGAGUAGAAAAACGUGUUAUUAUAAUAUCCGUGCUCGUUUUACACAUUUUGGAAACUGACCUAUAAUUCUGCAAAUUGCGCAUCUAUUCUAUAUUACAUUGAUAUAGAUACCUACAUAUUGGAAAUAUUGUGUAUUGACUUGGGUACUUUUGUGCUAUUCAUUUUUAUUUGUAUAAUUUCGUCCAUUAAAUUAGUUAAUAUCAUUUUUCCUAGUGCGAAGAAUUUUUAAUCUCGAGACACGAAUGGGCGAUUUUAAAAACGAAAUUAAUGCUACGUCUGUCGUUAUUGCGCACGUGGAAUAAAACCAUUAUUUUCGAAAAAUCAAGUCUAUCGUUGACAAUCGGUCGUGUGUGUACUUUGUAGUGUGACGUGGUCAGAGCAUAAUACAUGUCCUCCAGGGGCGUGUUUUCAUUACGAUUUUUAACAUGAGUAAACUGUUACAUGCUAUUUUAGUUGGUCCUAUUCAGAAAUCGAUAUCGUGCCCGAAAGCGAGUUAUAUAAUAAUGAUAAUCUAGUGUACAGUAUAAUAGGUACAAAGAAUUAAAAUAAUUUACAAACAUUUAAUGUUAAAAAGGUACCUUAGUUAAAUAAGAUUACCUACCUAGGUAAUACCUGUCUAUGGCCAUCAAUGGGCCCAGGCAGGAUUUUAUUUGGUGGCCCAACCCAUUCGCGCAUUAUUGAUUUUAUUAUUCAUAUUUGUGUUAAGUUGACAUAUUAAGUCAUCAGGUAUAGUUCACUAAAUAUUUUUAAAUUCGUAUAAGUUCUAUAUUAUUAAAUUUGUAUGUCAUUAAUUUUUACACAAAGGCAUUACAAAUACAAAAGUUUCAAUCCGUAUUAUAGAUGAGAAAUAAUUACCUACCAAGAAAGUUAAUAGACAAAAUAAACCUAUGAUUAUUGUGUUUUGAUUUUGAUAUUAUCCACGAUAUAUUUUGCGCACUACAAAAAAUAAAUAUUUGCACCUGCCAUCUGCGUUUUUAAUCCAGGCAAACUGUAAGGUUCCAUAAAUGUAAGAUUGAAAAGCAUUUUGAUUCUGGUUUAAUUAGGUAUUGCUUUUUUUUUUUGUGUGUGUGUCUAAUCAACUUUUCUAACAGAAUUAUUACUUCAAUUAAAAAUUGUGUAAGACAUUUCUUGUUGAAUUUUUGAUCAUUGUGGUGAUUUUUUGAUUUUCCUUCUAGUUUUUUUAAUAAAUCUGGACAAAUUGGCAAUUGUUGAUUUAUGAGUUAC